ensembl:lncRNA
UCUCUUUCUCAAGAUCCCUCUUUUGUGAAGCUUUUCAUUGCAAGCUUAAAUCUCCAGAUAUGGAUGGCAGCUGAGGGGCAGUCUGAUAGAAUGGUGCCUGACAUGGAAAUGCAUACAAAGAAAAUGUGGGCCAUUGAAUUCCUCCAUGCAGAAAAAAAUGGCACCCACUGACAUUCAUUGCUGCUUGAUGAAUGUUUAUAGAGACUGAAAAUGGAUAUGAGCACAGUGAGGCAGUGGGUGCUGUUUCAACAGUGGUGACAGUGGGUCACCUUUGCUGGUACAGAUUUUGACAAGCACAGCAUGGAGACUCUUGUUCAUUGCUGGCAAAAAUGCAUAGUUAAUGGUGGUGACUGUUGAAAAAUAGUGAUGUGUAACUGAGAAAUUGGUGUAUCCAUUAAUGUUCUCUUUGUAUCUGUUGUAUACCUACAUAUAAUAACAAACUAUAGUGGAGAUACAACUUCCAAGUACAUCCCAAGCACAUUUUUUUCUGUUUGAAAACUGAAUAGAUUGUCUAACAUACAUUUUUGUCUCUAAAAUAGCAUUUUAGCUUGCCAGAAUAGUCAUGCUUCUUACAAACCUUUUCCGGUGUAAAACAGAACUGAAAUCUUCAUGGAAACAAUCUUAAAUAAAAUACCAUUCUGAAAUACUUCAUUCGCUCUGAAAACAAAAUGGCAUGUAAUUCUUAGAAAGCAUUAUAAUACUUAUAAAAAAAAUUAUGCCUACAUAAAUCUUACAAAUAUAAACACUGUACAAAGAAAGCAAGGGUCUAAUCUCUGAUUACCAUGUUUGCCUCUGCAGAAAUGGGCUUUUUUAAUGCAUUUCUUUAUAGGGUCAAACGCAUUUAACUCUUAAACUCUAAGAUUAAGAGGAUUAUCUAUGGAUUAUCUAUACAUAUAUGUGACAGCGCUGCUUGCUGAUGUCCUUUGCUGAGAACAAUAACCCAAUUUUCACAGUAUUCUGAAUUCUACAUUAGCCCACCAACACCAUCAUGAUGGACCAGGUCUGGUACAGCAGAUUACUUAACUGAAGCAUUUUUUUUGCAAGUUACCCAUGUGCCACAAAUUUAGAGGGACACUAUAUUGUAUAAGUCUUUUACUUUUAAUAUGGCACAACAAGCACUCAGUGUUUCCGUUUUUGCAGACUUUCUUCUCACAGAGAAAUGAAGCAUGCUGAAUGUAUCCUUUUGCAACCGUCACAUGAGGUGGAAUCAAGUCUCUAAAUGUGCAGGGGACUGGCAAAGUAGCUGGAGAAAUAAAUCUGAAACUGUUAAAUUAUUUAGUGAUCGCUCUGAACUCAAGGUGAUCUCCAUUAGUAUGGAAGAAGUUCUUAUAUAUUACUGGAGAAAUUCUUUGACUCACAAACUCUCAGGUAUACUCUG